rnacentral:rRNA from 1 species
GACGAACGCUGGCGGCGUGCUUAACACAUGCAAGUCGAACGGAAAGGCCCUGCUUUUGUGGGGUGCUCGAGUGGCGAACGGGUGAGUAACACGUGAGUAACCUGCCCUUGACUUUGGGAUAACUUCAGGAAACUGGGGCUACUACCGGAUAGGAGCUCCUGCUGCAUGGUGGGGGUUGGAAAGUUUCGGCGGUUGGGGAUGGACGCGCGGCUUAUCAGCUUGUUGGUGGGGUAGUGGCUUACCAAGGCUUUGGCGGGUAGCCGGCCUGGGAGGGUGACCGGCCACAUUGGGACUGAGAUACGGCCCAGACUCCUACGGGAGGCAGCAGUGGGGAAUAUGGCACAAUGGGCGGAAGCCUGAUGAAGCAACGCCGCGUGCGUGAUGACGGCCUUCGGGUUGUAAACCGCUUUCGCCUGUGACGAAGCGUGAGUGACGGUAAUGGGUAAAGAAGCACCGGCUAACUACGUG